GGCCGGGCGUGGCGGUGCAGGGUCGGGACUGGUGUGCAGAGCUCGGGAGCUUGCGGAGAAGGACAGCGGGAGCAGAGAGUCACCCCCCGUGGCGUUGUUAGUGAGGAGGCGAUGUCUCCGGGGAGAAGGGCGAAGGCGCUCGGUCGCCACGGUGUGACCAUCAUCGGGAAACAGCAUUUUCCAGCGGGAGUGGGAAAGUUUGGUGGUACAGAGAUGCUUCAGUGUUUGGAAAAGUCAGAAUUUUAUGGAUUGAGUUUUUUACUCCUCAGGGAGCUGGUGAAGCUGUGAAUCUUUCCAAAGCCAAAGUUAUCACCUGGAUUUCAGAUGCCUUCUCUCACAGAUGACUAUGAUACAAGACAACACAGAAAAUUCAUUCACUGGUUGAGAAGACUGAAGUUAAUUUGCUACUUCUUGACAUGGUCAAAAUAAGUAG